rnacentral:lncRNA from 1 species
GUGAGACUCACGCUCAACUUGCAGUCGCACCCUCAGGUUUCAAAAAGCAUGUCUGCCUCAGAUCUGUGAAUUGUUUAACAGGAUUAAUCCGCCUCGCAAGCACUCCGCUGUCACUUUGUUCCUGGCUAGACGAGCUCUGAUAGAGGCUGCAGAGCCAGCUUGAAACCCAAGGAUCUGGCUCCUCCACCUCCCCCGAAGCCCAGAGAGAGUGCUUCUCACUGCAGAGCCUGUCGGCAGGCAGAUGGCCCUGCUUGGGGGCCGUGGGGACCCAGAGCUGGGCUUCUGCCGAAGACGGCAGGUCUUGAGGGUCUGCACAGGCGGCCCUGCAUUCCAAGCCUCCCACCUUUCUGACACCCUCAGCCCCUGCCCAGGGUUUGUCCAGAAAGACCAAGCUCCAGGGUCCCCUAGAGCUGCAACAUCAAGCUCAGCUCCACAGCAAGGGUCAGAGUCAGGCAGCUACAGAGGGUACAGGGGAGGAGCCAGGCUGCCAUGCUCAAGCCCCACUCUGCCACUGGCUACCAACGGGCCGCCUACUCCUCCACCUCUCUGGGCCUCAUUUCCAUCCCCUAGAAAGUGGGGUGGUGUUGAUAAAGGGGGCCUCACGUGGAGUCUGCUGUGAGCGAUGAUUACUGUGCGUGGAGAAGGUGGGGCAGGGCGGGCCUCGGAAGUGCACUACCCGAGCUUCUGUGCCAGCUGGGGCUGUUCUAAGUAUUCUGUGUUAUUGUUAUCAGGAGUAUUAUUCAGUUACCAUUAGGGUACAUAAUGAUAGUAUGAGUCCCAUGUGACAGCCCAAGGUCCCCACGUGAGUUACAGUCGGCUCUCGGUAUCCAUGGGUUCUGCACCUACAGAUUCAACCAGCUAGACAAGGCUGGAUAAUGGAUCCCAAACACAGCCAGACAGGAAGAGCACAUUCUACUGUCUAGAGCACACUGGGGACCACAGGUCACAAAAGCCUAUUACCCAUUUUAUAAAGAAAACAGGGGCUCACAGACUCCAAACUCAAAGAAAUGGUAAGGAGAAGGAAAUGUGAACCCCCCGCCCCCCCCCCGAUUUGGGUACAUCUAUCACACUGUGUACAUCUAUGGAAAUACCACACGGCACCUCAGAGUUGCACAUUAUUACACGUCAAUCAAAGAAUACUUUAAUGUUGAAGGAGAUGAAAAUGUUAAGUACCCCAAUUUGACUCAUUAUUCAUUGUCUACAUGCAUCAAAUUAACACACCAUACCUCAUAAAUACAACUCAGAGAGACCCUGUCUCUAAAUAAAAUUUAUUUCUUAACUAUAGUUUAAGAAAUAAAUCUACAAAUCUGAACUGAACAUAUACAAACUUCUUCCUGG